GCGGACGGGUAGUAAUGUCUGGAACUGCCUAAUGAGGGGGAUACUACUGGAAACGGUAGCUAAUACGCAUACGUCGCAAGACCAAAGAGGGGACCUUCAGGCCUCUUGCCAUCAAAUUUGCCCAGAUGGAUUACUAUAGGUGGGGUAACGGCUCACCUAGCGAGAUCCCUACUGUCUGAAGAUACCACCACACUGAACUGAAACCGGUCCAACUCCUACGGAGCAGCAGUGGGGAAUAUUGCACAAUGGGCGCAAGCCUGAUGCAGCCAUGCCGCGUUGUAUNAAGAAGGCCUUCGGGUUUGUAAAGUACUUUCAGCGGGGAGGAAGGUGUUGUGGUUAAUAACCACAGCAAUUGACGUUACCCGCAGAAGAAGCACCGGCUAACUCCGUGCCAGCAGCCGCGGUAAUACGGAGGGUGCAAGCGUAAUCGGAAUUACUGGGCGUAAAGCGCACGCAGGCGGUCUGUCAAGUCGGAUGUGAAAUCCCCGGGCUCAACCUGGGAACUGCAUUCGAAACUGGCAGGCUAGAGUCUUGUAGAGGGGGGUAGAAUUCCAGGUGUAGCGGUGAAAUGCGUAGAGAUCUGGAGGAAUACCGGUGGCA
rnacentral:rRNA from 1 species